GCUGGCGACCAUAGCAAGAGUGAACCACCUGAUCCCUUCCCGAACUCAGAAGUGAAACCUCUUAGCG
rnacentral:rRNA from 1 species